AUUGAACGCUGGCGGCAGGCCUAACACAUGCAAGUCGAACGAGUGGCGGACGGGUGAGUAAUGUCUGGGAAACUGCCUGAUGGAGGGGGAUAACUACUGGAAACGGUAGCUACUACCGCAUACCAUCAGAUGUGCCCAGAUGGGAUUAGCUAGUUGGUGGGGUAACGGCUCACCAAGGCGACGACCCCUAGCUGGUCUGAGAGGAUGACCAGCAAAACUGGAACUAGGAAACGGUCCAGACUCCUACGGGAGGCACCAGUGGGGAAUAUUGCACAAUGGGCGCAAGCCUGAUGAAGCAAUGCCGCGUGUAUGAAGAAGGUCUUCGGGUUGUAAAGUACUUUCAGCGGGGAGGCGUUACCCGAAGAAGAAGCACCGGCUAACUCCGUGCCAGCAGCCGCGGUAAUAC
rnacentral:rRNA from 1 species